rnacentral:misc_RNA from 1 species
AACGCAUAUGGCACCCGAGACUUCGGUCGAGGGUAUGUCUGUCUCAGAGUCGGCGUAAAAACAUCCCCAAGGACAAAAGGCGUCACACCCUUGUCCGACGGGGGAGCUGGCCCUCCCGGACUCUCGGCAGCCCGGGUCGGCUGAAGGGAAGAGACGAGGGACCGCACGCGCGGACAGCCACGAUUUUGGUGGGAGGACCUAGCGUCCGCAUCAUCGAUCGAGGCCGUCCUGUCGAAAGCGUCGGGACCCCGCCCCUGCAGGAAAACUUUUAUUCCAGUUCCGACCUGAGAUCAGGCAAGAUCACCCGCUGAACUUAA